AACAAAGCAAUUUAGACCUUGCCCUCAAACUGAAAGGAUUUCAAAGACUCAAAACAGUAAGAAGGCCUUAGUUGUCUGGUUGACCAAAAACCAUUUAGAAGAAGAAAGUAUCAAUGAAGUCACUGCAGACAGUCGAACUUUUCUGUCUCUUCCCAAGUAGCCGAGUCUUAGUGCAUUUUAGGGAGAAAGCUUGAAGGUGACCAGUUCCACCCUACCCCAGGUGGGUGUGCUUACGCAUGGUGCAAAGUCUUCUGUUGGCUCUAUUAAGGAAGGAUGGGAAACUGGUCUGAUAGCAAAACAGAUGAAUGCUAUGUGGAGGGCUUCUGAGUUGGGCAGGCAGGAGAGGGACUUAAAGCCCACGCCUGGGACCUUUAUUUGGCAACAGGGUAUGGGAGUCUUUGGAAGCAAGUUGCAGUCACACGGACUUUCUGUGGACAUGGCUGACCUCAGGAAAAAAACAACGUGAAUGAUGCUGCCUUCAAGGAGAAAGAGGACCCUUGACUCUCCUGGGUACCAGAUAAGUCAGGGACACUGUUUUGGUGUGAAUAGACAGGCCUGGGGGAGCAGCAGAGGUGUGCCUAAGAUGCCUGAAGAAUAAGGGCUUAGUCCUGUUUGCAAAGUGAGAGACAAGAGGAAGGUUAGACCGCAAGGUGCCCAAGACUUUCAGCUUGGAGAGCUGGGGAUUUGGUAGAGGGGAGCCACCCAUCUGAUUCUCCCUAUAAGGAAGACAGUGGGAUUGGACUUUGGGGUGCUUAUUUUCAGUACAGAAUGAGCAUCACACAGCAGAUACACUAGGGCAUGCAAGGGCAGAGGACUGAAGACAGGCUGGACCCAGCAGCAUCUGGAAGGGUGGCCCAUGAGACUGCUCACCCAGAGAGGCUCCCAGGGAGCUUCCCUUCUCAGGCACCUUCCAUGGAAGCCCAGCAUAGCACUGGAGGUCGGAGGGGAGGGAGGAAGGGAAGGAGGGAAGAAGGAAGAGAAAAGACAAACAGGUGGACCAAAGUCAGGAAGAAUGUGGGAGGAUGGGAAAGGAGACAGAUGGGUUGUUGUUUUUUGGGUUUUUUUGUUAUUUGUUUUUUGGGUUUUUUUUGUUUUUUUUUUUCCUUGAACAUGUAUCAGAAUCUCUUCUAAGUACUUGUCUGGGGGCAGCUGCAGGGCCGCUGAUAACAGCAAGGUGAUCAGAGGCCCUUAAUGCCAGGCCCCAGGCUAGUUUGCUUUACAUAUAUAGAAGCCGCAUAAUAAAGUUACUGUUGUUAUCCCAAGCACUUGUGAGGCAUGGGACGGUCGCUAGGCUGCCCAGCAUCACACAGUGAAAUGGGUUGGUUUGAAGAAUCAUCCAGAACCUACUUAGUCACCAAGCACAGCGGCUUUUCCUGUCACCGACUUGCCCCUCACCUGGUGGACUGCUUGUUCGGUAUAGCCAAGACUUCCAGAGCCCCACCCAAACACAUUUUCUGUAAAUAGGCGUUAAUUCUUCACUAAGCCUCCCAGAAUGUAGGUCAUUUUUUGCCGCCUUUGUCUUUUUUCUGUGAAUUAAAUGCUGCACCC
rnacentral:lncRNA from 1 species